rnacentral:rRNA from 1 species
UGCCAGCAGCCGCGGUAAUACGGAGGGGGUUAGCGUUGUUCGGAAUUACCGGGCGUAAAGCGUACGUAGGCGGCUUUACAAGUCGGGUGUGAAAGCCCUGAGCUUAACUCAGGAACUGCAUUCGAUACUGUAUCGCUAGAGUUUAUUAGAGGAUAGCGGAAUUCCAGGUGUAGCGGUGAAAUGCGUAGAUAUCUGGAGGAACACCAAUGGCGAAGGCAGCUAUCUGGGAUACAACUGACGCUGAGGUACGAAAGCGUGGGGAGCAAACAGGAUUAGAUA